rnacentral:lncRNA from 1 species
AGUAGAGAACUGGUAGAAGCAGAGUGCCAGUAACCAGAGUUCAGUGCUUGACAGACAAAGACUUCGGCCCCGUGGAGAUAACUGGACUCUGACUCUGGGAUGCUCCACUUUCUGUUACCAUUUCCUGGUUGGUAAACACCAACAGCUGACCAGGGCUCAAAACUUCUGGCAGUCUAUGGAGUGAGGUACAGCCAGGGAGGGAUUCCAUGGAAAGGAACCCAGGAUGUUGUACUGCGCAUCGGAUGACGUAGGAGUGGGGGUAGGGAAUUCCCUUUGCAGAAAGAGUGUCAGUAGUAACAUCAGAAGGAAAGAAGAAAGGAAGGAAAAGAAAGGUCUCUUUUUCUCAGUCUUUAGCAGUGUGCCAAGGAGAUGCACCAACACUGUCUUGUGUGGAAACAUGUCAAAGUUUCAGAGACAUCUUCCUUCAGGGAGAAAGAUGGCAUUGCUGUCCCUUACCCCAGAAGCACGGUGACAGCACUGAGUGGCCUCCAUGUGCCAGGCACUUCUCUAAGUCCUUUGCACUUGCACAGUUAGCCCCACACACAGCUAGGAAACUGAGGCACAGAGUAGCUCAGCAAUCUGUACAGGGCCAUCCAGCUGGGAAGGGGCAGGCUCAAGCAUCAAAUCCAGAGUGGAGCUUUGAAAUGAAUGUCCUCACCCACGUCCUGUAUUCCCGUCAUCCACGCGUGAAGAAAGACCGAUGAGUGCCGACGGUAGGCACUGAGCUGAGCCCUGACGAAGACGUUCAAAGACCCCUGAGACCUUGGUCUUGUCCUGGAGAAGCUUAGCACACACAUGGCAGCUGUGCAAAUGCAUACCCUGGGGACCACACUGACUCUGAGGGGUCCAGCAGCCAUCUUCUGUG